rnacentral:rRNA from 1 species
UACGGAGGAUGCAAGCGUUAUCCGGAAUGAUUGGGCGUAAAGCGUCCGCAGGUGGCUGUGUAAGUCUGUUGUUAAAGCGUGCGGCUCAACCGCAUAAGGGCAAUGGAAACUACAAGGCUAGAGUGCGUUAGGGGUAGAGGGAAUUCCUGGUGUAGCGGUGAAAUGCGUAGAUAUCAGGAAGAACACCGGUGGCGAAGGCGCUCUACUAUGCCGCAACUGACACUGAGGGACGAAAGCUAGGGGAGCGAAUGGG